rfam:Actinospica robiniae DSM 44927 genomic scaffold ActroDRAFT_ARA.1, whole genome shotgun sequence.
GCCCCCGUAGCUCAGCGGAUAGAGCAGGUGCCUUCUAAGCACUUGGCCGCAGGUUCGAGUCCUGCCGGGGGCG